GCCCAUCUUUCAAAGGGUCUAAGCAUCACGGUGAGCCAAUGGGAGAAGAAGUUGGUUUCUGAGAAGGCUACCGCGGUCGAGGUAUUUCUCUUUACAGAUGAAUUUUGGAUGAUCAAACUAGAGUUUGCCUUGGAGUCCUACCUACAGGGACUCACAAACUUCAAGCUGAAAGUCUAGAGUCACUUCUCUGAUCUUGACCUUGGGCCACUAGAGUCGAAUGAUGAGGAGAAAGAGCUGGCCAAGGUCAUCAUGGAGGAGGAGGCACAAGCUAAGGCAGAGACCGAUCUAGGGUGCGAUGAAGGCUAGG
rnacentral:lncRNA from 1 species